rnacentral:rRNA from 1 species
UCCCGUUGAUCCUGCGGGAGGUUGCUGCUAUUAGAGUUCGACUAAGCCAUGCAAGUCUGGUAGCAAUACCGGCAGACUGCUCAGUAACACGUCAAUAAUCUAACCUAUAGUCUAGGAUAACUUUGGGAAACUGAGGUUAAUACUGGAUGGGAGAAUUAUAUUGGAAAUAAUUUUUUCUCUGAAAAGCAAUGCUAUAGGGUGAGUUGGCGGCGGAUUAGGUUGUUGGUGGGGUAAAGGCCCACCAAGCCAAAGAUCCGUAGGGGCCUUGAGAGAGGUAACCCCGAGAAGGGCACUGAGAUACUGGCCCUAGCCCCACGGGGUGCAGCAGGCGCGAAACCUUUACAAUGCACGCAAGUGUGAUAAGGGAACUCUAAGUGCUUUACUUAUGUAAGGCUUUUGCCAAAAGUAAAUAUUUUGGCGAAUAAGUGGUGGGCAAGACUGGUGCCAGCCGCCGCGGUAACACCAGCGCCACGAGUGGGAACCGUAUUUAUUGGGUCUAAAGCGUCCGUAGCUGGUUCUUUAAAUCUUUUGUGAAAUUGUUAAAUUGAACUUAACAACGUGCAGGAGACACUGGAGAACUAGAAACCGGGAGGGGUUAGAAGUAUUUCUGGGGUAGCGGUAAAAUGCUAUAAUCCCAGAAGGACUACCUGUGGCGAAGGCGUCUAACCAGAACGGAUUUGACAGUGAGGGACGAAAGCCAAGGGAGCGAACCGGAUUAGAUACCCGAGUAGUCUUGGCUGUAAACGCUGCGAGCUAGGUGUUACAUAUUCUUCGGGAAUAUGUAGUGUCGAAGUGAAGAUGUUAAGCUCGCCACCUGGGAAGUAUGGUCGCAAGACUGAAACUUAAAGGAAUUGGCGGGGGAGCACUACAAGGGGUGCGGCGUGCGGUUUAAUCUAAUUCAACACAGAAAAUCUCACCAGAAGCGACGGCAGAAUGAAAGUCAGGCUGAAGGUCUUACUUGACAAGCCGAGAGGUAGUGCAUGGCCGCCGUCAGCUCGUGCCGUAAGGUGUCCUGUUAAGUCAGGUAACGAGCGAGACCUGUACUUACAAUUGCUAACAACUAGCAAUAGGAUUGAGCACAUUGUAAGGACUGCCCUGGAAACAGGGAGGAAGGUGCAGGCUACGGUAGGUCUGUAUGCUCCGAAUCUUCUGGGCUACACGCGCGCAACAAUGGUAAGAACAAUGGGAUACAACUCCGAAAGGAAAAGUUAAUCCUCUAAAUCUUAUCUUAGUUCAGAUUGAGGGCUGUAACUCGUCCUCAUGACGUUGGAAUCCCUAGUAAUCGGACGUCAAAAACGUCCGGUGAAUAUGUCCCUGCUCCUUGCACACACCGCCCGUCAAACCACCCGAGUAGGGUUUAGAUGAGGCUUAAUUUUUAAUUAAGUCGAAUCUAAGCUCAGCGAGGAGGGUUAAGUCGUCACAAGGUA